GCCCCAUCUCCUCCUCCCCUUUCCCAGCCUCCCCAUCCUCUCUUCCCCGCACCACCAUGCGUUCCACCAUCACCCUCACCCCCAGCAUCCCCAGUGCCACCGGUCUUGGUAGCGCCACCCUGCCAGCUAAUCAGGACACCAUGUCAGCGCCUGCUGCCUUCCUCUGCUCCGUACUGCCCUCCCAGUCUGCCUUCUCCCCUUUUUCCUCCUCCAAGCUGUCUCCCAACUCCAACCUUCCCCGCCCCUCCAUCUCCCCGUCCCGCUCCCCACUCGCCCCCUCCAGCCCUCUUCUCCCCAUGAGGGCCUCCUCCUCUCCUUCCUACCUCCCUAAGCAGCCUCUCCCAGUGUCACCUUCCCUCCCUUGCUCCCCUCUCUCUCCCCCCACCCCCUCCUCCUCCUCUGUCCCACAGCCCAACACUCCCAACGGUCAGAACAGAGUACCACCUGCUGUGGUCUCCUUGCCCGCCAGCUACAAGGGAGCGCCAUGCAUCCUUCCAAAACCCAUUCUGAAGAAGUCUAUAGCUCCUCGGCCUUCUUCCUCUCGCUCCACGGAUGACGACAUCCAGGGAUCCAAAGACGCCCUCAUCCAGGAUCUGGAAAAUAAACUACGCUCAAAGGAGGCCAGGAGGAGAAACAGCCAGAAACUCUCCUAUGAGGAGCGCAUGGCUCGUAGGCUGCUGGGUCCAGACAACGCCAACUACCAAGACAGUCUCUCUGACUCACAACUCGACCAGCCACAUUUACCCCAAGGAAGACACACAGGAGGACUAUGGGGGAGGCGCCACUCAGGGACAGAUGAGAGGGGAAAUGAGGGCUCAGCCAUCCAGGAGAAAUGUUACGCUCCUCGCUUCCUGCAGAUCCCUCCGGACCUCACUGUAGAGGAGGGACGCUUCUGUAGGAUUGACUUCAAGGUCGGAGGCCUCCCCACCCCAGACGUCUGCUGGUACCUGGACGGGAAAGCCAUCCGUCCCGACGACUACCAUAAGAUGCUGGUGUGUGAGAAAGGGAUGCACUCAUUCAUCAUAGAGAUCGUCACUGUGCACCAUGCUGGCGUUUAUGAGUGCGUGGCCAGGAACCGAGCAGGGGAGAGCAAAUUUACCAUGAGGCUCGAAGUUUUAGCCCAGGAGGCUCUGCGUCCUCCCACCUUUGUCCAGAAGAUGCUGAACUCCAGAGCUCUAGAGGGUGAUACUGUUCGGUUAGAGUGCAAAGUGGACGCUUCCCCUCCUCCGCAGCUCUUCUGGAAGAAAGAUAAAGACAUGCUUCGCAUUGACCCAAACAGAAUGAGUCUGUAUGAGGACGGUUCAGGCCGGCAGUGCUUGUUGAUAGAGAGGCUGAUGAAGUCUGAUGCUGGUUGGUACACUCUCUCUGCCAUCAACGAAGCGGGCAUGUCCACAUGCAACGCCAGACUGGAUGUCGGCACUCGCACGGCCCCGGCCAUGAAGACGGCGCCCCCCGGCUCCAAGACGCUGAAGCUGCUAUCCUCGCUGAGUCACGUGCCCGUUCUGAGCGUGGAGAGCCCUGCCCAGCACACCGCCCCGCUGUACGAGAGUGAAGAGCUGUAGACCCCCUUCACCAAACCACACGUCCCACCCUCAGGAAACCAUCGCACAUCUCAGAACUGUAAAACUGGGCCGGAGCCUGCAUUAACUGUCAGUUCGAGGCAGGAUAUGAUGGUGCUGAAGGUCGAAAACACUCAAAAUGAAUCUCUACUCUACACACACCCACGGGAGUCUGAUACGGAAGCCACGUUGGACAACGAGACAACGAAAAGACAUCGAGGGGCGGGUACAUCAUCCCAAAAACUGAAGGAUCCAACUCACCGCUAUAAGGCAGCUCAUCACUGAUGGAUUCGUCCAAUAACAGAGACGUCUCAAAGGUCCUACAAGAGAACAGAACCAAACGGCUGUUACUACAAAGCCCAGAUCUCCCCGAACUCAGAACUAGGGUUGGGCAUCGGGAACCGCUUCCAACUUGGAAUGGUUUCAAAAAUUCCAAUGAAAUCAAUUCUUUAUUAGAAUCGUUUGGAGUCGUUUUCGAAUCCGAUCACCAAAUUUAACAUGCGCAAAUUUUGGUUUCCGUAGAGGCCGCCAUACUUCCGGGCGCUUGUUGUGUUGCAGCCACGGAGCGCAGUAAG